UGAGGAAUAUUGGUCAAUGGGCGGGAGCCUGAACCAGCCAAGUCGCGUGAGGGAAGACGGUCCUAUGGAUUGUAAACCUCUUUUGUCGGGGAGCAAAAGAGGCCACGUGUGGUCAAAAGCGAGAGUACCCGAAGAAAAAGCAUCGGCUAACUCCGUGCCAA
rnacentral:rRNA from 1 species